rnacentral:tRNA from 1 species
AAGACUUUAAGUUAAAUAAACUAAAAACCUUCAAAGUUUUAAUUGGGUCACCCAAGUCUUG